rnacentral:lncRNA from 1 species
GGUUAUUUCUUGCUGUUGUCUCCAAUAUGUUUGCUGAAUAUUUGAACUAAAUUGUACCUCUUUUAGGUUAGAGAGUCUCUACAAUCUCUUUCUUCCAAAGAGCUGUCCUCCAUCGACACCGAACACCUGUAGUUUUAAUACAGCUUCCGCACACAGAGUUUCCUUGCUUUCUCUUGCUUGGAUUUUGGAUUAUAUCAUUACAAGGGCAUUUACUAAUGGUUUGGAGAAGAGAUGGGUGACAUCUUUGGGAUCUUGAGAAUAUGACUAUCUGGAAAUAUCCGUUUCUCUCCUUGCACUGGGUAGAUGAAUUACCACAGUCUUCUGAUUCUUCCAUGAUUCUGUCUAGACUAGACCCCGUGAAUUCUUGAGAAUGCAAUUGUGGAAUCACUUUUAACUUUUGAUCCAAUGUAAUAUCCAUUGAACUUCAUACAAUGAUUACUUCAAGCUGAUAAAAUAAGGCCAGGAUUAAUUAUUCAUACUUUGGCAACGUUGAAUAGGAAAGUAGUUGAUCCAAUAUUACUA